GCAGGCCCUUAGCAGGAAUGCUUUCCAUCACAUUACAGCCGUUUCCUGCCAUUGUGUGAGCCCAGCCUCGAGCAGGGAAAUGGGAAGCAGGCGACUGGGAAUCCAGACUGAACACACAUCUAGCCUCGGCGCCGAUCACAGAGAGAGGGGACUCCAGGCACAUCUGAAAGUGCAUUCAGCAGUUAUGGACAAGAAGGCAAGCCCAGGACCCAGCCCGCCGAUGGCCACAAGUGUGCGUGUGCCUGUAAGCCUGCGUGUGACUAACCACUAUCAUCUCUGGCAACAAUAAAAGUCACACAGAACAGCAAUCAAGCAAGAGUCCCUGCGUCCAGGCCACGGUCCGUUCCCCGUUUCUCCUUCUCCACAUUGAACUGGAUUCACUUACAAUAACCUCUACCCUGUCUGGAAUAAAAAUGUCCUGGGUGGCUGGC